rnacentral:rRNA from 1 species
UAACGUUACCAAACUGUUGCCUCGGCGGGAUCUUCUGCCCCGGGUGCGUCGCAGCCCCGGACCAAGGCGCCCGCCGGAGGAAUCAACCAAAACUCUUAUUGUAUACCCCCUCGCGGGUUUUUUUUAUAAUCUGAGCCUUCUCGGCGCCUCUCGUAGGCGUUUCGAAAAUGAAUCAAAACUUUCAACAACGGAUCUCUUGGUUCUGGCAUCGAUGAAGAACGCAGCGAAAUGCGAUAAGUAAUGUGAAUUGCAGAAUUCAGUGAAUCAUCGAAUCUUUGAACGCACAUUGCGCCCGCCAGUAUUCUGGCGGGCAUGCCUGUCCGAGCGUCAUUUCAACCCUCGAACCCCUCCGGGGGGUCGGCGUUGGGGAUCGGCCUUCCUUCACGGGGGCCGUCUCCGAAAUACAGUGGCGGUCUCGCCGCAGCCUCUCCUGCGCAGUAGUUUGCACACUCGCAUCGGGAGCGCGGCGCGUCCACAGCCGUUAAACACCCAACUUUCUGAAAUGUUGACCUCGGAUCAGGUAGGANNNNNNNCUGAACUU